CCACUAUAAAAAUACAAUAUUUAUGAGUAGCUGUGGAAAUUUUGUACACUUUUGGGUUUAGUCGAUAUAAAGCACCGUAACAGUGUACAACGAAAAUAGGGAAAAGUGAAUAGCCACUGGGUUGUUCAGCCAUGAACAAUUCAGUUGGAGGAAAUUUACGUAAAAUUUUAAUAGAACAGCUAAAAGCAAAUUGCGUAAAUUCUAUUUUAGAGUUCUACAGCGAACGAAAACGAAUUAAACAGUCGAAAAUAUGUCAUAAACACGACAUAAAUUAAGUCGAUCGAAAUUUUCGAAAUAGCUGUGAUAUUUUUUAUUUUUGAAUUUCCAACUUAUACGGUUGGUUGAGAUUUUCCUAAAAUUUUCAAUGAUUUAUGAUUUAUGUCGCUAAGCACAAGUUGUGUUCGUGGCUAGUGCUGUAGGCGGAAGAGCUGAGCUGCGUAUGGAAAAAAUUCAAAGCUGCACAGUAACGGAGCUGGCAAUGUGGACAGUUAAGCAACGGCCAAGUUACAAUGACGGUCGCCCGCAAUAACUGACACACCCGGCUCCACUUCACUCCGCGGGCAGCAACACGAGCAUAACAGUGAUAUUUUAAUCAAGUGUUUGCUUGCAACCUUUGACCACUCAAAUACACAAAUAGCAUGCAACUGCUUUAAUUGCUGUUCAGGCGAUUUUCAAAUGCUAGUUUGUAAGCAACUGGCUGACUGUGAUAUUUUACGCGUGUUUAUCGUGAAUCUAAAAGCAAGGAAAAAACUAAAAAUUGCUGCAUGUAAUAUAUACUAUGGCAUAUUACUCGGCUAAUUUUUGCUUGGCUCUGCACAUUUGGAUUCUUGAUAAAUUGUGAUAAGUAGCUGUGAUAUAUUUUGUGUUCAUUUUUUGUAUAAAACU